GCCAGGGUGGCGGAAUGGCAUACGCAUCUGACUUAAAAUCAGACGGUUACAACCUUGCGGGUUCGAGUCCCGUCCCUGGUACCA
rnacentral:tRNA from 1 species